GCCCAGGUGACCGAGUCCGGCAAGGUGACCGCCUGCAGAGCGGUUUCAUAGGGGUUCAAAUCCCCUCCUGGGCU
rnacentral:tRNA from 1 species